GAUGAACGCUAGCUACAGGCUUAACACAUGCAAGUCGAGGGGCAGCACAGUGUAGCAAUACAUGGGUGGCGACCGGCGCACGGGUGCGUAACGCGUAUCCAACCUUCCCGUUACUCUUGGAUAGCCUUCCGAAAGGGAGAUUAAUACAAGAUGGUAUUCAAAUUCCGCAUGUUAUUUGAAUUAAAGAUUUAUCGGUUACGGAUUGGCUCGCGUGACAUUAGCUAGAUGGAGAGGUAACGGCUCACCAUGGCGACGAUGUCUAGGGGAACUGAGAGGUUUAUCCCCCACACUGGUACUGAGACACGGACCAGACUCCUACGGGAGGCAGCAGUGAGGAAUAUUGGACAAUGGAUGGAAAUCUGAUCCAGCCAUGCCGCGUGCAGGAUUACAGCCCUAUGGGUUUUAAACUGCUUUUGUAUGGGAGCAAUAAUAUGUACGCGUACAUAGAUGAGAGUACCAUACG
rnacentral:rRNA from 1 species